GACGAACGCUGGCGGCGUGCUUAACACAUGCAAGUCGAACGGAAAGGCCCUGCUUUUGUGGGUUUCUCGUGUGGCGAACGGGUGAGUAACACGUGAGUAACCUGCCCUUGACUUUGUGAUAACUUCAGGAGACUGGGGCUAAUACCCGAUAUGAGCUCCUGCAGCAUGGUGGGGGUUGGAAAGUUUCGGCGGUUGGGGAUGGACUCGCGGCUUAUCAGCUUGUUAGUGGGGUAGGGGCUUACCAAGGCUUUGACGGGUAGCCGGCCUGAGAGGGUGACCGGCCACAUUGGGACUGAGAUACGGCCCAGACUCCUACGGGAGGCAGCAGUGGGGAAUAUUGCACAAUGGGCGGAAGCCUGAUGCAGCAACGCCGCGUGCGGGAUGACGGCCUUCGGGUUGUAAACCGCUUUCGCCUGUGACGAAGCGUGAGUGACGGUAAUGGGUAAAGAAGCACCGGCUAACUACGUG
rnacentral:rRNA from 1 species